UGCCAGUUGUCAGGGUUACAACCUACCC
rnacentral:piRNA from 1 species